ACACUUGUUUCUCUUCAGGGCGCAUGAAUCGUUCGCCUUUUACUAAAGCUUUCCGUGGAUAGAAACAAUAAGAAUGUAACUACAAUUUUUUUAAUGCCCUCUGAAGCAGGGCUU